rnacentral:rRNA from 1 species
GACGAACGCUGGCGGCGUGCUUAACACAUGCAAGUCGAACGGAAAGGCCCUGCGUUUGUGGGGUUCUCGAGUGGCGAACGGGGGAGUAACACGUGAGUAACCUGCCCUUGACUUUGGGAUAACUUCAGGAAACUGGGGCUCAUACCGGGUAUGAGCUCCUGCUGCGUGGUGGGGGUUGGAAAGUGUCGGCGGUUGGGGAUGGACUCGCGGCUUAUCAGCUUGUUGGUGGGGUAGUGGCUUACCAAGGCUUUGACGGGUAGCCGGCCUGAGAGGGUGACCGGCGACAUUGGGACUGAGAUACGGCCCAGACUCCUACGGGAGGCAGCAGGGGGGAAUAUUGCACAAUGGGCGGAAGCCUGAUGCAGCAACGCCGCGUGCGGGAUGACGGCUUUCGGGGGGUAAACCGCUUUCGCCUGUGACGAAGCGUGAGUGACGGUAAUGGGUAAAGAAGCACCGGCUAACUACGUG